AUUGAACGCUGGCGGCAGGCUUAACACAUGCAAGUCGAGCGGGGUGAUGGUGCUUGCACUAUCACUUAGCGGCGGACGGGUGAGUAAUGCUUAGGAAUCUGCCUAUUAGUGGGGGACAACAUCUCGAAAGGGAUGCUAAUACCGCAUACGUCCUACGGGAGAAAGCAGGGGAUCACUUGUGACCUUGCGCUAAUAGAUGAGCCUAAGGCGGAUUAGCUAGUUGGUGGGGUAAAGGCCUACCAAGGCGACGAUCUGUAGCGGGUCUGAGGGGAUGAUCCGCCACACUGGGACUGAGACACGGCCCAGACUCCUACGGGAGGCAGCAGUGGGGAAUAUUGGACAAUGGGGGGAACCCCGAUCCAGCCAUGCCGCGUGUGUGAAGAAGGCCUUAUGGUUGUAAAGCACUUUAAGCGAGGAGGAGGCUCUUUUGGUUAAUACCCAAGAUGAGUGGACGUUACUCGCAGAAUAAGCACCGGCUAACUCUGUGCCAGCAGCCGCCGUAA
rnacentral:rRNA from 1 species